GAUGAACGCUGGCGGCGUGCCUAAUACAUGCAAGUCGAGCGAACAGAUGAGAAGCUUGCUUCUCUGAUGUUAGCGGCGGACGGGUGAGUAACACGUGGGUAACCUACCUAUAAGACUGGGAUAACUCCGGGAAACCGGGGCUAAUACUGGAUAAUAUUUUGAACCGCAUGGUUCAAUAGUGAAAGACGGUUUCGGCUGUCACUUAUAGAUGGACCCGCGCCGUAUUAGCUAGUUGGUAAGGUAACGGCUUACCAAGGCGACGAUACGUAGCCGACCUGAGAGGGUGAUCGGCCACACUGGAACUGAGACACGGUCCAGACUCCUACGGGAGGCAGCAGUAGGGAAUCUUCCGCAAUGGGCGAAAGCCUGACGGAGCAACGCCGCGUGAGUGAUGAAGGUCUUCGGAUUGUAAAACUCUGUUGUUAGGGAAGAACAAAUUUGUUAGUAACUGAACAAGUCUUGACGGUACCUAACCAGAAAGCCACGGCUAACUACGUGCCAGCCGCCGCGGUAA
rnacentral:rRNA from 1 species